rnacentral:rRNA from 1 species
UACGGGGGGAGCAAGCGUUGUUCGGAUUUACUGGGCGUAAAGGGCGCGUAGGCGGCCACCGCAAGUCGACUGUGAAAUCUCCGGGCUUAACUCGGAACGGUCAGAUGAUACUGCUUUGCUAGAGUGCGGAAGGGGCAAUCGGAAUUCUUGGUGUAGCGGUGAAAUGCGUAGAUAUCAAGAGGAACACCUGAGGUGAAGACGGGUUGCUGGGCCGACACUGACGCUGAGUGCGCGAAAGCGUGGGGAGCGAACAGG